rnacentral:rRNA from 1 species
CGGACGGGUGAGUAAUGUCUGGGAAACUGCCUGAUGGAGGGGGAUAACUACUGGAAACGGUAGCUAAUACCGCAUAACGUCGCAAGACCAAAGAGGGGGACCUUAGGGCCUCUUGCCAUCGGAUGUGCCCAGAUGGGAUUAGCUAGUAGGUGGGGUAACGGCUCACCAAGGCCACGAUCCCUAGCUGGUCUGAGAGGAUGACCAGCCACACUGGAACUGAGACACGGUCCAG